rnacentral:rRNA from 1 species
ACUCGGCUGCAUGAAGCCGGAAUCGCUAGUAAUCGCGGAUCAGAAUGCCGCGGUGAAUACGUUCCCGGGUCUUGUACACACCGCCCGUCACACCAUGGGAGUCGGGAAUGCCCGAAGUCGGUGAGCUAACGAAAGAGGCAGCCGCCGAAGGCAGGCCCGGUAACUGGGGCGAAGUCGUAACAAGGUAUC